AAUAACACUCCAUUGUUCACUCAUCGAAUAACAGGAAAUAUAGUCGGCGGGAGUGGAGGACGAGAGAAAGGUGAACAAAGUGAAGGAGAAGGGAAGAUGUCCAGGCAAGGACCCCUCUGCCUGCUCACCUGCAUGGCAGCCAUGGCUGUCUCUUCAAUGGCUUUCAACAUCGAUGAAGCAAACCCAAAACUCUACAAAGGGGAGAAACAGGAUUUCUUUGGAUACAAAGUCCUGCAAUUCAUAUCUGGCAAGGAGAAAGGGGUAAUGGUCAGUGCGCCAUAUCAGAAGAAUGGAUCUGGUGGAAUCUGUAGAUGUGCUCAAGACCGAACAAACUGUACAGACUGUUACACUCCUCAAGAAACUGACACAAUCAAGUACAUUGGACUGUCUAUGGUUGCACAAUCUACUUCUCCUCCAACGUUCACUGUAAGAUAAACCACCA